CGCUCCAGUGGCCUAGUGGUUACAGCGUCCACCUCGGAUGCGGGAGGUCGCGGGUUCAAACCCCGACGGAGUGA